GGUUAGAGACCCGGAAGGCUGGGAGGGGUGGGCAUCGGCGGAGACGGAGCAGGGCCGGGAGGGACCACGUGCCCCCGGAGCUAGGGGGAGGAAGCGAAAGAGAAUUAGAUUUGAGGGGAGGUGGGAAGGGGAAAGAGAAGGCAGGGAACGACUUGGUUUACUCCAGUUGUAGGGGCCGCCCCAGACAUCUGGGGUCGUGGAUGGAAGCCUAAACUAAGUUCUUUUCUUCUCAAGUGCGCCCUCUCCCCCAGGCGUUACUUGCGCGCUCCGCUGUCUUUGCUAAAGGAAGUGGGAGCUGCGCCUCGGUUCCAUCCCGGGUCGGGACACCCCCUUGUGCCCACCUAGCUCUGUUUCCACUGCGGGGAGUUCCUGCCGGGCCCUGGGGCCUGGACUGGCUGGGGUGACGCGUUCCGGAGGCUCAGCGGAAAGCGGGAGGGAACCAUGGGUGGAAAAGGAAAAGGACGCAUUAGACAAAUCUGAUUCAACCCUUCUGACCAAGUCCCCGCAACAGGAUAAGAAAAUUCAGUUGAAAAUCUGAAAUACAUUUGUUUUUCCAUCAACAUGGAUUUUUGUCAUGAGCAGAAUUCAAGACAACAAAUUACUGACAAUAAGCUCUCUGAAGUCACGGACCAUAUUUCUUUCAUUCUCUACAUACCCAGCACCUAGUAGUACCUGGAACGUUAUCGACUCUCAGUGGCUAUUUGACAAAUGCAGGACCUGAAUCCAAGCUACUUUGGGCAUACCUCGGAGAUAUUGUGGAUUUGGUUCCAGACCACUGUAAUGAAGCCAAUCGCAAUAAACAAAGUCGUAAUCAUUUUUUCUGGUAGAGUGUCUUGCCUUCAAUUUGUGAAGAAUGCAACAUCUAUGAAGCAAAAUAAAGUGAAAAGCGAUAAAAGGAGGUAUGCUUAUAUAUGAGACCUGUUUUCAAAGACGAUAUUCAAUAUCAGCAGCCUGAACAGACAAAACACUCAUGUUGUCUCCCUGGCCUAUACCACAGCUGGACCUCAGUGAUACUGUGAUUUAUAUAAAGAAAUAGAUAUUUGGUCUUCCUCCACGUUUCCUGGCAUGAAACACCUAAAGCCUUUGUAAUUUCCUGAGUUAUAGGGGCAUCUUUAUUUUUCACCUUCUGAAAUAGUUCCAGAAUGAAAUUGGGUGUCCUUUGUUAUUCAUAAUAAACCCCUUUCAACUACAUCUGAGUUUAUGUUAAUGUGAUGACUUUUGGAAAGUCCCUAAGGAUAGGGGGUCUGGUUGCCAGGGGAAGUAGCUAUGUAAUUAGAGGGUUAGAACUUUUAGCCCUACCCCCACUCUGACAUCUGGGGAAGGGAAAGGGAUUGGAGGUUGAAUCAAUGGCCAACGAUUUAAUCAAUCAUGCCUUCAUAAUGAAGCCUCCAUAAAAACCCAAAAAAGACAGGUUUGGAGAGCUUCCAUUUAGUGGACACGUGGAGGUGCUGAGUGUGGUGAGCCUGAGUAGGACAUGGAACUUCAAUGCCCCCUUUCUCCAUUACCUUGCCCCAUGCAUCUCUUCUAUCUGGCUAUUUCUGUGUUAUUAUCCUUUCAUAAUAAACCCGUAAUCCAGUGAGUAAACUUUUUCCAAGUUCUGUGAGCUGGUUGAGCAAAUUAAUUGAACCCAAGGAAUUGAACCUCCAAUUUACAGUUGGUCAGUCAAAAGCACAGGUGACAACCUGAACUUGUGAUUGAUGUCUGAAGUGGGGUGAGGAGCCCUCAACCUGUGGGAUCUGACGCUCUCUCCUGUAGUAUCAAAGCUGAGUUAAAUUGGAGGACAGCCAGUUGGUGGGUGCAGAAUUGUUUGGUGUGGGGAAGAUACUGCAGUACACAUCUGGUGAUCAGAAGCGAGAGUAGUGCUGUGAACAAACAGAAAACAGAAGAGUGUUUUUUCCUAAACAGGCUCUAAAGAGGUGCAGUUCUGCAAUGCCCGAGGCAGUAGUUCUCAACUUUAGAGUGCAUUAGAACCGCGUGCAAGACUGAAUCACCCAAACUGGUGGACUCCAUCCCCAAAAUUUCUGAUUUAGUAAGUCUGGGAUAUCAUCUGAAGAUUUGAAUUUCUAACAAGUGCUCACUUGAUGUUGAUGGUACUGGUUCCUGCAACAUUAAGAACUACUAGAUCUGAUCUCUUAGAAGAUGGUUGCAGCCUAAGAUAAGGACAGAGCUAAAAUAAAGAUAACUAGGCAUCACAGUGAUACAUGGUGAUAUGUCAUGCAAAAUUUCAAA